CAGGCUGUGAUCACUGGAAAGGAGCCCUCCGAGUGGCUGAAGGGUUUCCAGACAAAGUCACCUCAAUGAGUCCCAGUGUACCUAGACAAUGAUGUCCAGCAGGACCGGUUCUACUACCUCGAGACUGUCCUGAACAGUACAUCUGCACUACCUUUUAUCCAGGAUCACUGUUCAUUCUAGAGGUGUUGUUCCCAGAGAUACAAAGAAUGACCACUCAAUGCCAACCUUUCAAAAUGUCAAGAAGAAUCCAUGUUGAAGCGAUGCUUCUUUGUCUAAUAGUGUGCCAGUGCAGGUUGUGUGAGGCGGUGGUAGAGAGAGGGGCCACCUUCAGAGUGAAAGUGGGAGACAGUAUCUCGUUUCCUGUCUCGCCUGAAUCCGACCACAUCUACACUGUUCACCGCUUUCUUAAAAGAUUUGCAAUAUUGAGAUGGCAUCAUCGAUCAUUAGUAGAUGUUAAAGAGCCAUAUAGGGGAAGGGUUAGCAUUAACAAUAAAUCAAUUUGGCUGCAUAAACUAAACCUAUCAGAUUCUGGUCCUUAUGAAGUUAGAACUGGCUUGAUAUCUGGCGGAUCUAUGCAACUGUACACAUACUUUCAAGUGCAGGUUUUUGAGCCCGUCUCUAAACCCAACAUCACAGCAGAGUGCCUGGGGAAUAAUGUCAGUCUGAGCUGCUUCAGUCAGGGGACGAAUGUGACUUACAGCUGGGAAACUCUGCCCCCCUGUGGUGAUGACAGCUGUGUGCGCCUGGGCCAAACUAUACACCCCCUCCCUCCCUCCACAACGUUCACAUGCACCGCCUAUAACCCUGUCAGCAAAGCCUCCUCUGUUUCUACACAUCUGGAAAAGUGCUCCACCCGAAGAUUACAAGGAGGAUGGAUUGCAGCCAUAUCAAUUUUCAUUGUCUUCGGAGUGCUACCAGUACUACUGCUGUACAUGAGGGAAAAGUGUCACAGGACACAGAGGGGCUUGAGCAUACAUUGGGCGAAAGGCAGGAAUAAACCCUGGACAGGUCGCCAGUCCACACUCUUACC